AUAUAAAUCCUCUGGGACCUUGUUAGAAAGAAGUAAGUCUGGGGUGGGGACUGAGAGUCUGCAUUUCUGAUCAGUUUCCAGAGGAUGCUGAG
rnacentral:pre_miRNA from 1 species